rnacentral:rRNA from 1 species
UGGCCUUGCGCCGGCGAUGGUUCAUUCAAAUUUCUGCCCUAUCAACUUUCGAUGGUAGGAUAGUGGCCUACCAUGGUGGCAACGGGUAACGGGGAAUUAGGGUUCGAUUCCGGAGAGGGAGCCUGAGAAACGGCUACCACAUCCAAGGAAGGCAGCAGGCGCGCAAAUUACCCAAUCCCGACACGGGGAGGUAGUGACAAUAAAUACUGAUACGGGGCUCUUUUGGGUCUCGUAAUUGGAAUGAGUACAAUCUAAUCCCUUAACGAGGAACAAUUGGAGGGCAAGUCUGGUGCCAGCAGCCGCGGUAAUUCCAGCUCCAAUAGCGUAUAUUAAAGUUGUUGCAGUUAAAAAGCUCGUAGUUGAACCUUGGGUCUGGCUGGCCGGUCCGCCUCACCGCGAGUACUGGUCCGGCUGGACCUUUCCUUCUGGGGAACCUCAUGGCCUUCACUGGCUGUGGGGGGAACCAGGACUUUUACUGUGAAAAAAUUAGAGUGUUCAAAGCAGGCCUUUGCUCGAAUACAUUAGCAUGGAAUAAUAGAAUAGGACGUGCGGUUCUAUUUUGUUGGUUUCUAGGACCGCCGUAAUGAUUAAUAGGGAUAGUCGGGGGCGUCAGUAUUCAGCUGUCAGAGGUGAAAUUCUUGGAUUUGCUGAAGACUAACUACUGCGAAAGCAUUCGCCAAGGAUGUUUUCAUUAAUCAGGGAACGAAAGUUAGGGGAUCGAAUGCCGAUCAGAUACCGUCGUAGUCUUAACCAUAAACUAUGCCGACUAGGGAUCGGGCGGUGUUUCUAUAAUGACCCGCUCGGCACCUUACGAGAAAUCAAAGUUUUUGGGUUCUGGGGGGAGUAUGGU